UUGGUCUGAUUUCUCUUCAGAUUGUAUAAAUUUUUCGCUUUUUACUAAAGAUUUCUGUGGACAGAGAAGGUUUUUUUGUUGUUCAAUAAAUAGCAANUAAUGAAAAAACUCACAAUUGGUCU
rnacentral:snRNA from 1 species